GGCAACCAGAAACCCAGUCGGACCGGGAGGGCGCGCUCCCCGAAAGCGCCGCGGCUCCGCUCGCCGCUGCCUCCCCUGCGAGAGCAUCCCCCCCGACACCGGCUCCCCCGGGAUUCUCCCACAAUCCCCCUCCGGCCGGCGGCACGCGUGGACAGCCGCGCCGCUGUCACCCCGCGCCCAACGGAGGUAAGAUGUCCUACUGAACCUGUGAAUGAGGAAAUAGAAACACAGACCUUAAAGGAAACAUGAGUACAUGCAUACCCUUGGGCAAGGUCCAGCUGCGCACGCUGCACAUCAGCCGUCUCCAGCUUUUCACCACUGCAAUUUCCACUCAGCCCAACCUCUGAAGAGUCCUUGGAGAUCUUACUUUUCCAGUCAUACCUGAAUCAUCUUUAGCUCCCUGGCUUCAUUGUGGUGGUGAUGUUCUUCUUUUCGUGAAGCUAAUUUUUACCCUUUUUUCUCCCUACAAAAAACUGCUGCUUGAC